UGUAUGUGUGUAUGUAUGUAUGCAUGUAUGUAUGUAUGUAUGUAUGUAUGUAUGUAUGUAUGUAUGUAUGUAUGUAUGUAUGUAUGUAUGCAUGCAUGCAUGCAUUCACAUAUGUGCAUGUCUAUCAGCGCACGUUUAUGUGUGUGCGUGUGCACGUAUGUAUAUGUGUGUGUGGGUACACACGUGUUAGUAUACAAGUGUGUGUGUUCACAUAUGCGCAUGUCUAUCAGCGUAUGUAUGCUUGUGUGUGUGUGUGUGUGUGUGUGUGUGGGUCUUGCAUGGAAGGUGAGAGACACUCAAACCUCUGCUCCUAGAGACGAGGGAACCUAUCAGACUGCUCCGAUCCUCGGCAGGCCAGGAUACUGCGGGCCGUAUCCCGACCCUGCAGUCACCCCCCCCCCCCCCC